CCAGACUCCUACGGGAGGCAGCAGUGGGGAAUAUUGCACAAUGGGGGAAACCCUGAUGCAGCGGCGCCGCGUGAGCGAUGAAGUAUUUCGGUAUGUAAAGCUCUAUCAGCAGGGAAGAAAAUGACGGUACCUGACUAAGAAGCCCCGGCUAACUACGUGCCAGCAGCCGCGGUAAUACGUAGGGGGCAAGCGUUAUCCGGAUUUACUGGGUGUAAAGGGAGCGUAGACGGCUGUGCAAGCCAGAUGUGAAAGCCCGGGGCUCAACCCCGGGACUGCAUUUGGAACUGUGUGGCUGGAGUGUCGGAGAGGCAGGCGGAAUUCCUAGUGUAGCGGUGAAAUGCGUAGAUAUUAGGAGGAACACCAGUUGCGAAGGCGGCUCUCUGGACUGUAACUGACACUGAGGCACGAAAGCGUGGGGAGCAAACAGGAUUAGAUACCCGUGUAGA
rnacentral:rRNA from 1 species